rnacentral:misc_RNA from 1 species
AACUGAUACUACCUGCGGGAACCUGCGGAAGGAUCAUUACCGAGUUUACAACUCCCAAACCCAAUGUGAACGUUACCAAACUGUUGCCUCGGCGGGAUCUCUGCCCCGGGUGCGUCGCAGCCCCGGACCAAGGCGCCCGCCGGAGGACCAACCAAAACUCUUUUGUAUACCCCCUCGCGGGUUUUUUAUAUCUGAGCCAUCUCGGCGCCUCUCGUAGGCGUUUCGAAAAUGAAUCAAAAC